ensembl:lncRNA
GCUGCAUUUUGGGGCUGGCAGCCAUCUGUACCUGGAAACUGCUUCUUUGGGGGAGCGAGUGAGUAUUGGUCCUUGGAAUGGGUUCCCUUGCUUCUGGAUUGCUUCAAUGAGCCCUAAUGAUGCUGAUUGGCUGACUGAGCGCUGCGGUUCUGGACACGUUUGCAGCUCAGUGGGUUUUAAGGAUUGUUGGGACUCCUCUAAUCGGUGGUGUGAGGCCUGUGGAGCAGCUAAUGGAACAUCACGACUAUGCUGACUUCCCCAGGGUCUUACGGUCAUUUCUGUUUCACCAGCAGAUCUGGGUGGCAGCAGAGAGCUGCAGCGCUCCCGAGUGCUGUAAGGACUGCACGGAGAGAUGUGCGGGUCUUCACGGGAACAGCCAGGAACCGAAAGCUGCAUUUCCUGGGAUGCCCUGGAGCUCCACUUUGCUGACUGGUAAUUGUCUGCCCAGCAGGUGGCAGCAGAGAGCUGCAGCGCUCCCGAGUGCUGUAAGGACUGCACGGAGAGAUGUGCGGGUCUUCACGGGAACAGCCAGGAACCGAAAGCUGCAUUUCCCGGGAUGCCCUGGAACUCCACUUUGCUGACUGGUAAUUGUCUGCCCAGCAGUGCUAAUCUGAUGCAACGCCCUCAGCAAACUUACCAAAGGUGCACUCCAUGCCAUCAG